CCGUCUAUAUACGUAUAGCAUAUCAAUAAGCGGAGGAAAAGAAACUAACAAGGGUUCCCUUAGUAACGGCGAGUGAAGCGGGAAGAGCUCAAAUUUGAAAUCUUCAAGGUUUUUACCUUGACGAAUUGUAGUUUAAAGAAGUGUUUUCUGUUGGAGUUUCGGUAAAAGUUCUUUGGAAUAGGACAUCAUAGAGGGUGAGAAUCCCGUAUUUGACCGUUACUUUCCAGCUGUGUGAUACACUUUCAAAGAGUCGGAUUGUUUGGGAAUGCAGUCCAAAAUGGGUGGUAAAUUUCAUCUAAAGCUAAAUAUUGGCGAGAGACCGAUAGCGAACAAGUACCGUGAGGGAAAGAUGAAAAGAACUUUGAAAAGAGAGUUAAACAGUACGUGAAAUUGUCAAAAGGGAAGCGUUUGACACCAGUGUUGUUUUCUCGAAAAUCAAUUAAAAAUGGUGGGAUGUUGUGUUGUAUUGACUUUAUCAGCUUUCUGCACUUUUUUUCUUAUCUUUUUUAAUGCACUUUUCGUUUAACAAGUCAACAUCAAUUUCUUUUGUUGUAAAAGAGUCAUUGGAAGGUGGCUUUUCUUUCGGAGAAAGUGUUUAUAGCCUUUGGCUUCUGCAAUCGGAGAGAGUUGAGGUCUGCAGCGUAGAUCCUUCGGGGUUAGAUGCAUUUGUGCUAAGCUAUAGUUCUUUAUAGACAACUUGUUGACUAUGAUCAGUCCUGUAGCUUACUCGCUUAUGCUAUUUUACCUACGCUUAGGAUGUUGAUAUGCAUGACUGAUAU
rnacentral:rRNA from 1 species